GAUGAACGCUGGCGGCGUGCCUAAUACAUGCAAGUCGAGCGAACAGACGAGGAGCUUGCUCCUCUGACGUUAGCGGCGGACGGGUGAGUAACACGUGGAUAACCUACCUAUAAGACUGGGAUAACUUCGGGAAACCGGAGCUAAUACCGGAUAAUAUAUUGAACCGCAUGGUUCAAUAGUGAAAGACGGUUUUGCUGUCACUUAUAGAUGGAUCCGCGCCGCAUUAGCUAGUUGGUAAGGUAACGGCUUACCAAGGCAACGAUGCGUAGCCGACCUGAGAGGGUGAUCGGCCACAGUGGAAAUGAGACACGGUCCAGAAUCCUACGGGAGGCAGCAGUAGGGAAUCUUCCGCAAUGGGCGAAAGCCUGACGGAGCAACGCCGCGUGAGUGAUGAAGGUCUUCGGAUCGUAAAACUCUGUAUUAGGGAAGAACAAAUGUGUAAGUAACUAUGCACGUCUUGACGGUACCUAAUCAGAAAGCCACGGCUAACUACGUG
rnacentral:rRNA from 1 species